rnacentral:lncRNA from 1 species
GAUUCAAAUUCUCCAAUAAGAUUCUGCCAGUCCUCUGGCAGUUUUGAGGAGUUGUAGCAGUAGUGUGACCCCCAGAACAGUAUUAACUGCAUCAGGACAGCCCCAACUGCCCCUUCUUGCAAGACAAAUUGCCUCUCCAGCCCUCAAUUGUGUCACGAUUUAGCCUGAGACCCAAGUCACUCCAAAAGGGUCUAAUAAUAGGUAUCGAAGGAGAAAACAUCCGGUUCUAUAGCUGGGAAUAGGAAUGACCUACCUUAACCAAGUCCUAUGGAAAACAGGGUGAUCAAAAGUCAUGUUUUCACAUUUAUUGGGAGCCAACUUUGGCUUCUAGCAGUAGUGUAACCCCCAGAACAGUAUUAACUGCAUCAGGACAGCCCCAACUUUGGCUUCUUGCAUUUAUUUGAGGAGUUGUAGCAGUAGUGUAACCCCCAGAACAGUAUUAACUGCAUCAGGACAGCCCCAACUGCCCCUUCUUGCAAGACAAAUUGCCUCUCCAGCCCUCAAUUGUGUCACCAUUUAGCUCGAGACCCAAGUCACUCCAAAAGGGUCUAAUAAUAGGUAUCGAAGGAGAAAACAUCUAAUUCUAUAGCUGGGAAUAGGAAUGAC